rnacentral:lncRNA from 1 species
CAAACCUCAGUUAACUGCUCUAUGCAAAGCAGCGACAGACCCCGGGGAAAUCGGUCCCUGUGUUUCAGAUCUGGUACCCUGGUCAGGGCGCUGAUGUGGAAGGAUGGCGCAGAAACGUGUCUGCUUGCGGUGCCCACAUGCCCGGAGCCCUGCCAUGGGCUAAGAGGGCUCACACAUCCACACAAUUCUGGUGAUCAGGCUCUGGGGCUUCUUUUGCUCAACAUUCAGUCUGCAAACCAUCUCUGAAAGAUCACCAGCCGGCUGAGAGCCCGUAAG